CGUUAGAUCGAGGUCGAGUAUUUCUAACUUUAGCGAUAGAAAUUCAAAACACGAACAUACUCGUGAUCGAUUCUUUUCUUAUUCAAAGCACGAGUCCAUAGUUUAUGAAAGAUUCGAAUCUCAAAGAUGAGAGGAGUGUUAUUAUAACAUGUAGGAUCGAUAAUCUCAAGUCGACGGUGAACCUCGGUGAAGGUCUAAUCUCGAUGGAAAUGAUGGAUAAAACGAAAGAGAAAGAGAUAGGCGUGGUUAGUGAAGGACAAAGUGCAUCUCGUAAAACAACGACACAACGUGUACACCUGCAAAGAUAUCAACACGCACAUUGUCACGCAUAUGUACGCGGAUAUACACGUCAAAGAAGCAACACCACACCCUGCUGAACAAGAAUCGUAUGGCCGUGCAAUGCGCCGGCGGUAAGCGACGAUAGGAAUGCGUAUGAGCGGGAUAAUACUACGUGUAUGCAACAUAUAAACGUGUCUAACACGCGAGCUCGCUUUAGAAAAGUUCGCACGCAGGAAUAAUCGUACUCGUUGGCCGGUGCAUUUACUACUAGCAGAGGAGGAGGAAGAGAGGAGGACGAACGUGUUGCGCGGAACAAACCGGCAAAGACUCCGACGACGACGACCGACCGAUCGAAUUCGCCUCGGUUAACCCCGGCUUAACGUUUCCUUAUCCUGCAAUGGACUAUACCAAUCAACACGUAUAUGGAUAAAUAUAUCCUAUUUAUAGAAGGAACACAUGUAUCUAACGUCGAUUCAAACGAUUCGUGACAGCCUGGAAAGUUAUCGAUUAACACCGAAUAUGAACUGCAAUAGAGCAUUCACCGUUAUCAAUACAUUAAUCUUUAUUAAAACUCGAGCGAAAAAUAUUACCUAUCUGUACUGCUUAUUGCACGUUUGUUUUUAAUGUGAAAAAAAAAAAGAAAAGAAAAUGAAAUACAAAAAAAGAAAAAAAAAUUAAAAAAUUUAAGAAACGUUGGAUUGUUCAUAAAUAAAGAAAUAA